GGGCGUGUAGCCAAAUCGGUGAAGGCACGGUCCUGAUAUGGCCGCGAUUCCAGGUUCGAGUCCUGGCACGCCCA
rnacentral:tRNA from 1 species